GCGCUUAGGCAGUGCAUACACUAACAUCAGGAGGACACAGAGAAAUGACCACGGCCCCUGCACAAGGAUGACACACAAAUUCAGGAAGCAUCUAAUAUUUAA